AAUUUGGGGCGGCUGGCUCAGCUCAAAGGAGAUGAAGCCGACGCUGAAUGACUGCAACUUUGCAAGCACAGAACUACAAGUCUACAACUAUUCAUAAAACCAGCCAGAGAAACAAGAACACAUGUUUAGAUGAUGGUAAUGCCCCAUGAUUCAAAGGGUAAUCUGCCAGAAAAAACAACAACAACAAAAAGGACAAGAGUUUCAGUUUUAAAAACAACGUCGGAAACCCAUCCUAAAGAAGCAUAGUACAUAAUAUCAACCGAGGAAAGAAUGGAGUCAUCAAACCAACCAAGACUGUCAGAUUAUGCAGAUCAGGAUGUUAAUCCUGUUUUUCUUCAGCAACUCCAGGACAUGGGUAUUCCAGAAGAGGAAGCUAAACAGGCGCUCCUGCGAACAAUGAAUGUUUCUGCUGAUGAGGCGAUCAACUACUACUUCAACAAACUGAAGAACGAGGAGGAAGAUGAGGAUCUCAUGUACAAAAUGGUGUUUGUGGUCAACAUAGACCUUGCUAUGGGGGUUGGAAAGGUCGCUGCUCAAGUUGGACAUGCUGCUGUUGCUUUGUACCAGACUCUGCAGGAGAACAACGGCUGGAGAGAGAUGGCCAGGAAGUGGGACCACAGUGGGGCCAAGAAAAUUGUACUGCGGGGUACCGAUGUGGCCCAUCUUUUAGAGCUGCAGGCCCAUGCCAUGAGCCUUUGUCUGCCCACUUACUUGGUCCAGGAUGCUGGACUUACACAGGUGGCCUCUGGUUCCUAUACUGUUCUGGCUAUCAUGGGUGAGGAUAAUAUGGUGAACAUUGUCACUGGGCGUCUGAAGCUGCUCUGAUGGCCUCAAGAGCACCUAAGAAAAUGCUGAAAACAUCAAACUGAGGGCAGCAUUAAAGGAAAGCCUGGGUGAAAUGACACGUUGAACCUUCAUUCUCAUGCUUGGCCCAAUAAUGCCUCAGCAUUGAGAAGUUGGCUACUGUUUGUGUAUGACAAGUCGGAAGUACAAAUGCGACAUUUCACCUGCAAAAAAAUAAUGUGAAUAAUAAACUAAUAGUUACCUUAAAAUUCAUUUUAAUUUGAAUGGAACAUGAAAAGUCGAAAAUCUGAGACAAACCCGGUGAAGAUUCAAAUAAAUACCUUAUUCUCCGAUGAGAUGAAAAUGGUCCCACACGGCUGACAACUUGCGUUUUCCCUGUACAAUGUUUGGUCCAUUUUCCACAGCACGAAGAAAAUGAAGGAACUGUGAGUUGUGGAUUGUUUCAGCAGCGUUGAAAGAUGCGCUUCCUUCUAAACAAAGCUUGCCGUGUCUUGGCUGCGUCGACGCAGUUCAUGCAUUGGUCACGUGAUUUUAUCAACGCUGUAAGUGCGUUAGCGCACCAACGCUGGGAUUGCUCCUUUAGCUCAGCGCAAAUUUCUGACUGGCCACUUAAUUCCAUGAUACAAAAAGAACUACCCUCCAACAGGAAAAAAAAAUCUUCAUGCAUGAAAAUGCCCCAUCUCAUGCUGCAUGGAACACCACUGGCUGCUUUAGGCAUACAAGAAGAGAAACUGAUGGUGUGGCCACCAUUUUCUCCUAAUCCCAACCAAAUGGAGAACCUCUGGAGCAUCAUCAAGCAAAAGAUCUACAAGAGUGGGAGGCAGUUCACAUCCAAGCAGCAGCUCUCGGAUGCGAUUCUAACAUACUGCAAAGAAAUUAAAUCUGAAACUGUCCAAGAACUCACAAGUUUUACAGAUGUAAGGCUUAUUAAAGUGAAAUCAAGCAAGGGGUCCUAUAUUAACAUUAUACAGUGAAAACUUUUAUUUCCACGCGUGUCGCAAAUGUUGUUUACUGAAGAUGUAAAAUGGUGCCGUCAUAAUUAUGUUACGCAUUAAGACGAUAUUCCUUUCUAGACAUAAUUUAUUUGUUGUUGUAUCGUUUUGUCACAUUACAGCUUGAGCAAUGGUUCUUCACCAAAGUUCGAUUGAACCCCAGAGUGAGUGUCGGGUUCAGGCGGGGAGGAAAAUGUAUUGUUUUAAUAUGGUUUCUUUAGGACAAACAUGAUGCAAUCAUUCUUCUAAUUCAUUAAUACUGAAGUUAAACUUGAGACAGCAUCGUACAACAGAGUAUUCACGUGGUAUGCCAUUCUCUAGUCUACAGGAUGCACCACAGGGAAAACAAACAUUUAAUCGUGCAGAAUAAUUAUGUAUUUGUAGCCAACGUAGUCAUUUUGAUAGUAGGCUAAUAUAGGCUAACAUACAGCAUGCGUUGCCUUCAUCUUAAGCCUUAUAUAAGGCUUUUCAUUUUUUGCGGCUCCAAACAUAUUUGUAGUUUUUUCUUUUUUUUUUUUGGUCCAAUACAGCUCUUUCAACAUUUUGGGUUGCCGACCCCUGCUCUAGGGGAUUUAAAAAAAGAGAACAUAAAUAUACCAUACAUAUUACAUACAUUCACAGUUUUGUUUGCCUUAUUAAUCAUUGAAUGUUUAUAAAUCAAAAUAUGUUUGAACUCAUUGCAGAAACAACAAAACAUGGCUUCCUUCCAAUUAGGCAUGUGCCGGUAUGAGAUUUUGACGAUACGAUAACCUUGAGGAAAAAUACCGCGGUUUCACGGUAUUGCAAUUACAGCUCCAAACUGUUAUUUUGAGAUUUAUGGGUUACAAAAAAACGGGAUUUAAAAAAAAAAUCUGAACAUAUUUGCAAAUUGGAACAUGAAAAUACAGUGGUACCUCUACAUACGAAGUUAAUCCGUUCCAGGACCUUGUUUGUAAGUCGAAAUGGUCGUAUGUCGAGCAGGAUUUUCCCAUAGGAAUACAUUAUAAUUCCAUUAAUUCGUUCCACAGCCCAAAAACCUGCACUAAAUCCUUAAAAAAUACUGCUGGUGCUAUUACAAAUGGCAAUUACACGUAGCAAAACAAAUAAAUUAUAAAUCAAAAUUGGAAUAAUGUAAUAAAAAGAAUAAUAAUAAUUCCUGUAAUAGUGUAACGAAUCGGGUUCUAAUAAGGCGGACGUUUUUUUGUGUACCUGAACGCACCGCGGGGCUCACGUGCCAGAGACAGACCGGUGAGCUUGAGUUUCACUUUCACUUUGAAUGUUCUCUUGAGAACACCAUCAAUUGCGGCAGACAGCAGGCGUUUUGUGUUGAAUAAGUUGUAAAAGAAAUGAUGAAAACGUGGCGAAGCUGGCGAUUUCUUUGGAGACAAUAAGAAUUGUCAGCUUAAUUUAUAAAGACUGGCGAACGAUGGUCGGAGGAGGACCGUGGAGAUGUAUUGUUGAGCCAUUUCACGGAUGCCCACCCCACGCUCAUAUUUUUCUGUCAUUUGCAUCUUCAUUUCGAAGGUAAGCAUCAACUUUUUCCUUGUUUCACCACCUGUACCAACCUUUUCUGAAACCUGUGUUGAUUUGUCACACAAGAAAAUCCGCCGUGCAUUCGUCUGCGGUGCUGCCAUUGUCGUAUUUCGAGCAUGUCGUCGGAUGUAGAAACAAAUGGCGAGUCAAAUUAUACGUCGGAUGUCGAAAAGUUCGUGUGUCGAAGCGAUCGUAUGUAGAGGUACCACUGUAAUGUUAAAAUAAAUACAAAAAAAAAACAUUUUAAAUAAAAUUAAAAUCAAUAGAACUUAGACUACCCACAGCCACAGCUCAGAUUGCUCAAGAUUAGAGCAAGAACAAAAAUAAUUGCUAUAAAAAAGUAAAAACACUUCUAAAUAAAAUUUAAAUAUAUCCACUGUACGACUUUUUUUUGUUUUUUUUGGAGGGGGCAAAAAGCUCAAGUGAAGUUUCGCCAUUUUCAGCCACUGUGUCAACUCUAGUCUACAUGCCAUGCCUUUGUGUUAAAAAGACAAAGAAUUCAUAAGUUAUCAAGUUAAAAAUGUAUAAGUUAGUUUAAAUUUAAAUAUUGUUGUGUAAAGGUUUCAUCUAAAAAACAUUCGGAGUGAGACUUCAUCUUGUCCAGCGAACGUGCAUUUGUGCUUAGAGCAAGAUUCACUCGCAAUUAGCGAUCUUUGAUGUUAUCCCUUUUUCUUCAUUCAAGCAUGUUUCUCAGUGGCCGUGAUAUUUAAAACCUCAACGAAGUUGCUCUUGCAGCUAAGACUAAGCUAACAUUCGUCUUUGUAAGUUUUUAGUUAGUUUGUAUUUUGAAUUUGAAGGGAAAAUGUGUGUUUUUUUUUUUUUUGGCAAACUUUUUCUUUGUGUUCAUGGAUAUGACUUCCUCACAUUCUGCUGUUUGUGCUAAUGAAGCUACUCACUCGUAGAAAAAUACUAUUGUACAACGUUUUAAAUGUAUUCUUUUUGUUCAUUUCAGUUAGGCCUGAAGGGUGAGCGCUGCCGCUCCAAGACACUUCUGGCAGCAUUUUUUGGGAAAUGUAUAAUAGCGAAUACGCUUUUUUAUUGGUUUUAAAACCGUGACGUUUUCAUACCACGGUAAACCUUGAAACCGGUAACCGGCACAUGCCUACUUCCAAUAAAUUUACCCCGGUGAAUGUGAAAUUUUGCCAUAAUGCUCAUUAAAUCAAUUAGAUAUACAGCAUCAGACUUCAGCAGAUUGUCCUCAAAGCGAACAAUACCUUCUUCCAAAAUAAAAGAAAUCCCUUAUUAAUGUGACGUAUCACAAACCUGUAAAAGUUGAACCAAAAAGAUCUAAGGGACAGUGCCAAAAUCAGUGUACAACAGACUCUUCGGCUGCAGAACAGAAGGUACAGCAUACAUCAAUGUUCUUAUUGAACGCGUUUUAAAUAAAAUGUCUAGCUGGAUAAAUUCUGUGUAUUAUUUUAAAAGAAACUUUUGUUUGUAAUUAAGUCCCGGUUUUCUGGGUUUGCAUGUUUUUUUUCACCCAAAUUUUUUUUUUUUUUUUACGAACAUGAUAAGCAGACAAAGAUGAACAAACAACAAUAGAAAUAAAAAACAAAACAACACAUAUGCCUGGGGGUGCAAACAUACCAACAUUUCAUUACAAACAUUGCACAUCAAAGAAAAAAAAACAAUGAAUAAAUGCGGUCAUUCACUUGUUCACAAAAAGUAUUUAUUUCUUUUUUUUUUUUUUACAAGUAUUGUUUUAUCUGCUGUAGCACACAGUCUCGUUAUGAAAGUGAGAAAAAGAAGGUAACAGCUUGCUAAAUUAACAUUUGUGGAGGUAGAAUUUUGAUAACAUCGUGAGUAGAUUAAUAAUAAAGACAUUCUUAUUCUUGAGUUCUUUACAGAAACAAAAAAUGAGAUUUUCCCAUUUGAGUUUGAAGUCAACGUGUAGAUUCCUGACGAUGAAAUUGCAAAAGUCUUUACAAAAUUUAUUGGAAAGAGAGCAGGUCCAAAAGAGGUGCGAAACUGUCUCUGGAUGAUUUCCACAGAAUGAACAGUUUGUUCCCGCUUAAAUUUUUUCAUGUAGUGGUUUGCAGGAUAAUAUCUAUGGAUAAUUUUGAAAGAGACUUCUUUGACUCUAUUUGUCAACAGAAACAUGUUGGGGAUAGUCCGUACCACGGCCAUGUCCAUACCGUAGACCAAAUGGUAUCUCCCAACAAAUUGAUUCCAAAAAUAUUUAACAUACGGUAUGGAUCUGAGUUCAUUCUGGAAUAGAGAUCAAACAGUUCUAUUUUUGUUAUGUAGCAAACAUAAUUUCCCCACACUUGAAUUCACACAUAGGUACUGUGCCUGAUAAUAACUUCUGUGACGUCGUAGUCUGUGCCAGUGACGCAUUAUUUACUCGCCACAACCAACACUGGCAAAAUGAAACCGCGAAAACUAAACAACGAAAAACAGCGACAUGGCCACCGUCGAGGACAAAGCGGCGAUACUUGCAUGUCUGAUGGGGAUAGUUUCCACCAGCGAGCAAAUCCAGCGGCUCAUGACGAGACGGAAAAAGCACAUAGAUUUCGUUAGAAGACUACUGCUCCAGAGGCAAGCGAUAGUUCUUCGUUUCAUGGAGGACGAAAGGAGAGCAGACAGGAGAAGGCAAAGGAGGCGACGGAUUUUGCUGCGACGCAUUGCAAAGAUUAUCGCCGCCAAAGCUGAACUGGUGGAGACAGGUUCAUAAUGAGGAGUGUAGCGAGAGGGAAGGCAUAACCUGUUACUGCUGUCAGACACUCUAGUAAAGUUCUACCUCCUGCUGCAGAUGCUCAAGGCAUAGCUGUGCGUUCAGCCUUGUGUUGCCCAACUGACCUUUUCAGUACAUCUUAACUUGGGUUUGACAUAAGUCUAAGUCAUGAACAGUUUUGUAUUAAGCAAAACAAGUCUUAUAAAUUGCCUUUAUUUUGGUGGCAUUAUUAUAUAGGCCUACCCGUUGUCCAGCUAUAGCUAGCUACAACGGCCAAAUUUUAGAAUGUGUCAUAUGUAAACUCACACACUGUAUUUCACUCCACAGGUUAAGAAAUACUUCAGUGUACUAGUAAUCAUACAUUGUUAAAUUAAACACUUUGUGUUAUUUAAAGUCAACACAAUAUAGAAAUUUGGGAGCUGUCAAAAUCCGUAGAACAAAUCAAUGCUUUUGCACAUGUAAAUUUGAAGUAUUUUUGCAAUAGUUAUCCUUUCCAUGUUUUUAAUUAGGGUUUUUUCUUGCCACGUUGCAAUACUUUUCAUGAUGUCCAGAAGACCCUCAAUGAAAAUCUGCUGCUGUCGGAUGGCGGUGCAACAAUUAUCGAUACAAGAGUUAGAAAAUCAAUCUAGAAUAUUCUACAAUAGAACUAAUAGAAAACAAGAUUUUUUCAUCCUUAUGCUGUAAAUUGGAACGGAUUGUCCACUAGAUGUCCAAUCCAUCUGAAGUGGGAGGGUGGCAGCGAAUGAACGAAUGCCACCCUCCCACUUCAAAAGGAUUUGGAUGUCAGUGGCAGCCAUUGCCAAGCAAAGAGUUUACUAUAUUUUGGUGCAUUUCACAACAUUUCCUGUUGAUUUUUGGUCACUUUCUUUUCCUUCUGGGGAACUUACAGGUCACUUCCUGUUGAUUUUGGGUUACCAAAAAGGAAGUGGCUCAAGAAUGUCCUCCAAAUGAAUAGGUGACUCAAAAUCAAGAGAAAGUAACAUGCCCUAAAAUGAAAAGUGACCAGAAAAUUCCCACAAAAUUCUUGCCUGUGAACGCGCUGGCUUCAGUGCCAUCGACUUCGCUAGACGCCCAAUCCAGUCAAAAUGAAUUGGAUGUCUAGUGCAGUCAAUGUCAGCCAGUGAGCUAAGUAGACACUAUUGUAAAAAGACUUUAGGAGCAACCUAUUGGUUCCUUGUAUUAUAUAAACACAUAUACAGCAACAUCUUUUUAAAAUGCUAAAUUGAUUCUUGGUGGGAACAUAAUGGAUAACCUUUUGCGCUACAAACAGGUGGGUAGUAACGCGAUACAUUGUUUCAUUUAGUUGAGUGACUUUUUGAGAAAAAUGUACAUUUUUACUUGAUUUGUGAAGAAGAAACACUUAUACUCUGCUACCUUGGGCUACACUAGUCAUUACGUUUUUCCUCCUUAUUCUACAUAUCGACUUUAUUUUUGCCGUCGAUGCUGACAAUAACCACAUGCUCCGUUAUACCAAUCCGAAAGGAUUUUUUCUCCACUAGAGGGCGCUCAUGCUCGUUGGACAUUUGACCCCCCCCCCCAAAAAAAAUUCUAUUUGAUCACGCGACAGUGUAUAAAGAAGGGGGAAUCAAAACAAUUCUAAGUGGUUAAACUACUGUAUCAGCAUAGUUAUGUCCCCAAAAAAACCAAGAUAAAACGUCGGGGUGAUGUUUCAAGUGUUGUUGUGGGCUGAAUUCAACUUUUGUGUCUUGUUUUUGACCUAAUAUGGUCAUGUUAUGUUACAAUACAGUGUAAUAAGUUCAUAUAGAUGACAGUGUGAUGCGAAAUGACAUUAAAAAAAAAAAUCAGAUUGUAAGCAGUUACUCAUUAUUUGACUAGUCUUUUCAACAGAUACUUGUAAUUGAGUAAAUUUUUGGAUGACUAAUUUUGUAAUAUUGUUGGGAAGUAACGCUACUCUUAUUUGAGUCAUUUUUUUGGUUACUCUAUCCACCACAAAUGAUCACGAUAUAUCAUCUUUUCGAUAUAUUGUCACACCCCAAUUGUAUACUGUACAUAAUGUUGUGUAACAUGCCUUCACUAGCUUUUUUAAAGUAAACCACAAGUGCAAAAUUAAGAAUACUUUAUUACUUCAGCAUCUGAAAAUUUGCACUUUCUAUCAAUUACCGGGUUACAUCACUACAGCAACAUUUGAAAACAGUGUACAAUGAUAUUAACACGCAAAAAUAGAAACAGUUCUAAAUUGGCUCCUUGCGGGGCCUGCUGUACAUCUCCAAACUGACUCAUACUCCCUCUGAAAGUUCGUUUUUGAUCACUGCCAAUCCGUUAUCAGAUCUGAACUGCCGUUGUUCUGGAGAAGACAUUGAUUUGUAUGAAUCAUUAGCUGCUUGUGUAAAUAAUCUGGAAUUUCUAAUAUGAGACAGCAUAGAAAGGUCUGUGUAAUCACUAGACAGUGACUUAACUUUGACAGUAAAAUGCAUACAGACACAAUGCAAAUUUGACAGUGAACCAAGCAAAACCUAACCAUAACUGAAAGCCUUACGUGUCCAUUUCUUACAAAUUGAGAUGACCUAACCGCACUCAUCAACACUUAAGACCCAGACUGGCAGAGAUCAUCAUAUAUCCCAGAAAUAAGCAGAAAAGACUGAGAAGAUCAGGACCAAACGUCUAGCAGCAGUGUCAAUACAUAGCUUGAAUUUACAACCUUGCAUCUAAUACAUAGUUUCUAUCCCAAAAUGGCACUUAGUACCGACUGUGAACACUUGUGCUACCUCACUUUAAUGUACAAGUUAAAAAAAAAAAAAAAAAAGACAAUUUAAUCCACAUUUUCCAAAAGGAAUGUUAAAAAAAAUAUGACGGAACAUUAAAUUAUAAUACAUUAAUCUUUACACUAGUCCUGGUGAUCAGUUCUCUAAAAUUAUUUUAUUUUAUCAAUAUUGGUCCAGUGACUUGUGCACUUGAGUGACAUCGACAUCAAUCAGUAGCCCUGAAAUGUGUGAAAACAAAAACAGGUUGGGGGGGGGGGGGGGGGUAGACACUUCCACGUCCUAAGUACCAUAAACUACUCGAGUGAACAGAUUUUAUAGGAGCAAUAUAUGAUUUGCGCUUCAAUUAUUCAUUAAAUGUCCCUAAUAUUGGAAUUGACACUAAAGAAACGUGUUUUUUGUAAAUACUGACACGGUUCUCAAUGGUUAAGCCGGCGGGUCAGCAACCCACAGCUCCAGAUGCGGCUCUUUAGACUGACCCAGUGGCUUCAUUGAGCUUUUUCAAAAAUGUUUGAAAAUGGAAAAAGAUGGGGGAGGGAAAUAUAUUUGUUGGGGUUUAUUCUGGUUUCUGUAGGAGGAGAAACUAAUUAAUAUUGUAAUGAAGUUAAACUUGAGACGGCAUCGUACAACAGAUUAAUCAUGUCGUGCAUCAUUCUCUUUCAGACAUGUGUUGCCUGCAUUGUUGAGCUUUUAAUUUUUUUGCGGCGCCACUUUUUUUUGGGUCCAAUAUGGCUUUCAAUAUUUUGGGUUGCCGACCCCUGGACUAAGCUGAGAUUUGCCCAUUUCGAAAGUUGUUUUGAGACUGCAUUAACAAUGGGUGUCCCGCCCUCCACCACCAGCCAAUUACGAGAUAAGUUCUUGGUCUUCGUCCAGGUUACAAGAGCUCUUUAGGCUUCGGAAACUAAGGUUGCAGAAGUGAGACAAGGAUAAUCAUAUACGUUGUGUACUUGUACUACAAGUCUGUUUACUCGUACUACAAGCACCUGUACUUGUUUGUAUUUGUACUAGUAGUACACGUGGGAAGUGGGGUGCUGAAGAACCCCCUGGUGUUGGGGAGAAAAAAGUGUUUUGGUAGAUUCUUUUAUUGUUAAAUCAUUAAAUAAAACAUUGAAACAAUAGCGUUUUUAACUUUAGGGAUUAAAUAUAUACAGUGAUUUCUCGUUACGUUCGCAUCCUUUGUCCAUCGCGGAUUUUUUUUUAAGAAAAAAAGAUUUUAUAGCAAUGUUCCGAUCCGAUCACGUACAGCUUCUGAAAAAAGCAUGGCGUAUAUAGGUGUCUCUUUCCAAAUACUUUGAAACAAAAAAUAUAUAAAUUUUUAAUGUAAAUAAGCUCCGCCUCUACUUCACUGAUUUAGAUUAUUGCGCGGGGGUGGGGAGAACUGUCUCCAUUAACAGCAAAAAGACGAAAAAAUUUUUUGUUAAUUGCUACCAGGUCACACUGGAUAAGGUGUUAUUGGAACGGAAAUGUUGACAGAGAGGUGUUAACAUGCCGCAAAAUUUGUUCUUUACAAAACCCGACAUUUUCGAAAAUUGGAUGUUGAAAAUGAAGAUAAUUAUGGUAGUUUAUUAUAGUGCUCAGGGAGAAAAAGUAGCUGCAGAAUUAGACCGUGGAAAACUUCAAAGAGCUUGCAUUGUAGCCAUAUUAUUGUUGUUGCUGCUUCCCCCUGUGCAGAGCGCUGUUGGAUAUUCGUGUGAAAUUUAUAUUAGUGUUGUAAAUAGGAGUUAAACCGAGGCUUAUUGGACCUUUCGGUUUUCAAACGUGUCAUUGUGCCAUCUAGCUGAGCAGACUUGCAUUAUAAUACACUGGCUCUUUUAUUUCCAAUACAAAAACUCCCAACACAUACUGUAGGUGAACGCUGUCUUUGUAGUAGCCUAGUAGUAGUAGUAGUACGUAAACUAUCCAGCAUGCAUGGGUACUGCCAUUGUGCACGCAUGACUAAUUUGGACCAGAACCACUGUUCUCGGAUGGGAAAAAUAAAACAUCCUCAGCACCCCCUGCCGUGAGUGAAUUCCACCGCACCUGGUAGUACUUGUAAUACAGAUAUACUGACCAGAACAGCAAAGCUUCCCACGCAUUUCCUCAAAAACAUAGCAUUUUCUAGUUUCUGAUUGAACAUUGGUAUGUUAACACAGCUUUAUUGUUCAUUACCAAGCACUUAUCUAGCAGCCUGAAGGGGAAGGAAGGAGAUGUGCGCGUCAAGAUUUUCAUCAUGGUUGCAGUACCAUGUUUUGGCCACCAAUCUUACAUAUUGCCCCUUUAAAUUCCAAUUUAUUGUACUGUGACAAAAGAAAUGGGAAAUGUGUUCAUUUAAACAGCAAUGUCUCGCACUAUGUUCUCUGUGUAAAACACACUCAAAGCUGGUGAACGGAGAGAAAAGUCAUGUAGCGCAGCAGGUUGAGGUAGAAAGCAGCACUUGGGAAACAACUAACAGGGUAUAUAUCUAAAAGAAGAAGUAAUCUGGCAGUAUAUGUUGUGACAAUGAAUCACUAAAGAAAACGUUUUCUGAAGCGACUUGACGUUUAAAAAACAUUGGUGACUGUGAUCAAUUUCACACCAAAACAGUAAGGACAACUAAAAACAACCAGGGUUCACAUGUAACAAAUAUUUAGUCAUCACAGAAUAAAAAACUUUUACCAUACAGCAGCGUCAAGCGAAUAAAAUGACCGAACAUCACCAUGACAGCAGGACUGAAUUGUGUUUCAUAUUCUUACUGUACAAUAUCUCACUGUCCACAAUAGGUUGUCACACACGCGCAGUAUAAAAAAAGGCCUAGGAGGUCUUACUUCCUAAUUCUUCAGCAGCUAGAUAAUAAAAUUGUUGAGUUGAUUUCAAAUCAACCAAACUUUGCUGAAUGUAUCUAGUCCCGAAAAUGAAGUAACACGGUACUCCAAACUGCAACUGGUCGUCAUACUGCUGUCGGAUGUUUGCCGUCACAAAUCUGUGACCUUGUUCUCUACGGCCGCAGCAAUCUGCUGUAGUCUGUAACCAAGCUGCAUUUUCUGGGCUGUGGUGUCCUCCUCCAGAGCUGUGAUUAUCUGUGGGCAAGUAAGAACGUGUGGUAAGGCUAUAGGCAAAAAUAAGUUGAUCGCCCCUUUGGCGCAAGAAAGUUGGAAAUUAUAGACACAGUAGAAAAUACUAGAAUAGAAUAAAAAGUAUUUUCGUUGUACAGAGUACAAUGAGAUUUAAUAUACAGGGUGUUCCAAAAUGUUUGACCCCAUUUUGUAGGCCAAUAAUUUUGACAAUUUUCAUUUGAAUUACUUCAAAUUUUCACAGCUUGUGGAGAAACGUUUCAAGUUUCUGUGUGUAACGUUUGGCAUUUCUAUCUUUUCAGGUUAAGAAAUGCCGUUCACUUCAAAAGAAAAGGCAUUUUGCGUAUUAGAGUAUGCUCGGACUCAGUCACCGAAGACAGUGCAGCAUGUCUUCUUCACAAAUUUUGCAAUGAAGGCACCAACUAAACAACAAAACAGAAUUACAGGUGCACUAGAAACUUACAGAAGACAUGCUACAGCGAGUUUGGCACAAGCUCGAAUACAGACUCAACGUGUGCAAAGUCACAGGUGGCGCUCAUAUUGAACAUUUAUGAAAAUCUGUCAUAGAACCAACAAAUAUUUGUACUUUUCUUUGUAAAUUUAACCAAUAAAACUUAUUACCUUCAACAUAAAGUGUAUGUAGUUUCAUUAAGAUCUAUCAAGUAGUUUCCGAGAUAUGGGCAUUUAGAAUGGGGUCAACCAUUUUGGAACACCCUGUACAUACAGUAUACAGUGGUAUGAAAAAGUAUCUGAACCUUUUGAAAUUUCUCACAUUUCUGCAUAAAAUCAUCAAAUGUGACCUGAUCUUUAUCAAAAUCACACAGAUGAAAAAACAGUGCUUUAAUGAAAACCACCCAAACAUUUAUAGGUUGUCAUAUUUUGAUGAGGAUUGUAAGUAAACAAUGACAGAAAGGGGAAAAAUAAGUAAGUGAAUCUUCACAUUUAAUAUUUUGACGUUGUGUGUUACUCCCAAACAGUUAUACUUUGGUUUCAUCUGUCCACGAAAUAUUUAGGCAAAACUUCUGUGGAGUGUCCAAGUGCCUUUUUGCAAACAUUAAAUGAGCAACAAUUUUUUUUUUUUUUUGCCAGCAGUGGCUUCCUCUGUGGAGUCCUCCCAUGAACACUGUUCUUUGGCCAUAUAGUUGAUGUGCACACAGAGAUAUUGAAUGUGCCAGUGAUAUCUACCAUAGCAUUAUGUGGGUGUAGUUUGUAGAGGCUGUCGGUCCGCAGUCAGGUAUUAUUAAUUUUGUUUUGUUUAUCUAGCGGCAUGACUUGAGCCAGAGCCGUGAGUUGAGCAUGAUGUUUACUCUCUGUCCUUCCUCAUUGCGUCCCGAAGACCGCGCUGACUGUGUUUUAGUUCAGCUUUACUUGCCAUAUUUCAAUAAUCAGAAUUUGGAUGUUUGUGAAUGGUUCUCAAAUCUUCCACAGCCGCCUCCCGAAUAAUCUAAAAAUUAUAUAUACACAGUACAGGCCAAAAGUUUGGACACACCUCAUUCAAUGCAACACAAAUGGCGGUCCCGACCCUAUUGAUAAAGUAAUUAAUUCCACUAAUCAACCCUGAAAAGGCAUACAUGUGAAGUUGAAAAAAAAAAAACAUUUUACAUGACUCCCUCUUGAAGCUUAUUAAUAGAAAGGCAAAAAAAGUCACCAGAGCAAAAGGUGGCAAAGAUAUGAUAAUAUUACACGCUUUGCUUAUUUCACGCUUUUUUUUUUUUUGCUAGGUACAUAGUUACAGACGCGUUCAUUCAUAUUUUUAGUGAGAAUUUACACUGUAAAUAGUUAUGAAAAUAAAGAACUGUGGAACCAUAUUUUAAAAUAAGCAAAAAAAAAAAAGUAUUAAGGUGUUUUGGCUUUCUCGGUCAAAAGGUUUCAGACCCCUGCUAUAACAGAUAAAAAAGAUACAGAAAAUAAAAUUUUACAUAGAACAAGUACAAACAUAACUGAAAUGGAUAUUUAAAAAGUAUUUAAAAUGACUAAGAGGGACAAAACUCAAAUUUAAAAGUGAAUUCCAGGUCUCACAGCAUAAAAAAAUGUAAUUAUUUCUCUUUUAUUCUUUAUUAUUGCCCCCCCCCCCAAAAAAAAAAAAAAAAAAAAAAAUUAUAAUGAGGGAGCAGAGGGAUACAACUCAUGUUGGGUCACUAGUACAUCAAAGCACCACUAACAUAUCGCACAUAAACACGUACUGUGAACACAUACGUACCUGGUCGUAGUAUUUAUUGAUAUACUUGUACAGCUCAUGCAGUGCAACCAAGUAGUUCAGUUCUUCUGAAUAGUUCUGAAACAAAAGUUACAUUGUAGUUGUCAGUCCAAAUCAUAAAACGCAACUGGUGUUAUAUCUUACGCUGCCUUCAUGUGGUGUCCUAAUUAUGGUAAAUACCACUUGUCGUGUCGAAAAUUGAACAUAUGAACACCCCCUCAAAUCGUAUUUUCUACUGAAGAACUGGGAUUUUUAUUACUAACCUUUACUUUUCAAAAUGGUGGUGCACGAACAAGCAGUGGUGAAUGUGAAAAACUAAGUUUUUUAAGAAAAUUUAUCGUCACCUUGCACAUUUUUUUGACGCUAGCAUAAUCAUUUUUAUCGCUUGCAUACUUUGUUGUAAAGCGUCCUUCAAUGUCGUGAAAGGCGCUUUGAAAUAAAAUGUAUAGUGGUACCUUUACUUACGAAUGUCUACGUACAGAUACGCCUCAACAGGAAAAUGUUGCCUCUUGUUACGAAAGACAUUUCCGGAUACGAACGGCAAAAAGACAGUAUGGCUAAUAUUCGCUGCUCUCAGAGUUCCCGGAACGUAACAUACUUAUAGUUGCUCUGCCAUUGGCUAUUUCCUAGCAUUCCUGCAUCCAAUUGGUCAAGAGAUACCUCUAUUGUAUGUGUAUGUGUUUAUCCUAGCAUCCUUUUCAUUCGCUCCUCGUGUUCCGACAGCUUUACAUGAGCGUAUUAAGUUUUAUUCUUUGUUUAUUACAUGAUGCACAAUUCUGAUUUUAUGUUUAUUGUGCAACAAUUUAAUUGUAACAUGUAUUUGUUACUUGUUUUGAUGCAUCUUUAUGCAUUAUAAAAUAUUUAUUUCACAAUCUUGGGGGGCUUAGAACAGAUCAGGGCAUUUACAUGGAAAACUUACAGAAUUUCUCUACUUACAGAAUUUCAAGUUAAGAAACUACUUCCAGAAUCAAUUCAUUUCGUAAGGAGAGGUACCACUGUAUUAUUAUUUCAAGUUACUGCAACUUGAAAUUUCAAAUUCUGCUUACUUAAGAAAUGUAAGUUUUGCCUCCAAACUUGAUCAUUGAAGUUAGCACAACUCAUCUUUAUCAAGUUAACAAUGUUGACUUGAUGUGUUUCAAAUACUUAGCAAGUACUUAACAAAUCUUAAGUUAGCUCGAGUUUUAUUUACAGUUUAUACCUGUAUGACAGUUUGCCAAUUGUCGGUUGCCAAUGUUACAAUUAAACAGACUUCAGAAUAUAUAUUUUAUGAAGUCUAUGAAUUAAACUUAACUUUUUAAUUUUUUUUCAGUGAUGGUCGGUUUCUAAAACAUUUGAAAUAUUAUUGAGCCCAACUUCUUGGGCUGCACUCACCCUUGAUAGUUCAGCUAGAGCAGAGUUCAUUUCCUGGUCACUGGCAGAGACAGUUUGCCUGAUGUCAGCAUAGUAUCUGCAACAAUGUUACAUUGAAUGACAUCGGUCAAAUUCUGCUUUACUGUAUAUGCACUUGAACAGAGUGCAAAUGAAAUGGUCAUUUUCAAAAAGAAGACGUUACCUUUCCACCAUCUGCUUGUAACGUGGGAUGUCUCUAGCAUAAAGCAGCUUGUUGAUGGGUGAAUCCUGUUUAAAAUGGCAACAGCAUUAACAUGGCUUUCAUGGCUGACCUCUCCUAAAAUGACUGUAGUUGAUGUUGACUUUGAGGACUAGAGUUAGGACUAGGGACUGAUUGAUCGAUGACUCUAUAGAUCACAGAAUUAAAACCCAAUUAUGUUGAUGAUAUUAAUGCAAAUUUUACACAUUAGUUCAUGUUUUUAGGUUUACUGGGAGUAAAUGCUAAUAGGGUGGCUCCCCUUACCCGACCCAAUUUGUGCUCAGCAAUGGUACAGGAAUCCAUGAAGGUCUGAGCGAUGACCGACAGCACGGCGUCCACGUGGUCUGAGGCUUGCACAUCAAAGAUGAAUUGAGGAUUCUUGACAAUGUUGAUCCAAAAACGCAGGGGGAGACUGGAGUAACAUAUGCACCAAAUGAGUUCAAUUUCUAACAGUCUCAUUCAGAUUUGAAUUACAGUUUUAACACAUAAAUGUAUUUGGUAAAGCCAGACUAAUCUCAAAGUUGUGUGUCCAUACUGCACCUGUUGGUCUUCCAAAUGUGUAUAGUCUCUGGGUCAGAGAUAUUGUGUUGACCAGCUUGGUCAUCCAGCAGAUCGAAGAAGUAUUUGACAGCCAGUGGGACAGGUUGACUAGUGCUGAGGAUAACGGUAAACAAAUCAUCUACGAAUUUCUGCAAGGUCCCCUGAAAACCACAAUGGAAAGAGGGAAAAGAAUAUUUUAUAGAUAGUUUUGCUUCAAUAAUUUUUUUAAUUCAAUAAUUCUUUAUGUAUAACAGAGGGCUUGUCUUCAAGCAGUCCACCAUCUUUCAGUGAUUUUGAUCAACUUUCGUUGACAAGCAACAAUGGGGGAAGGUUCCCCUUUUUGUAAACAAGUGUGUGAGAAAAACAUUUAAGGACAACGUUCCUCGAUACACAAUUGCAAGGAAUUUAGGAAUUCCAUCAUCUACGGUCCAUUAUAUCAAUAAAAGAAACAGAGAAUCAGGGACAAUCACCGCACGUAAGCAGCAAAGCCGAAAAACCUAGCCGUGAUUUUCGGCCAUUAAAUGACACUGUACCGCAGACAGGAAUGCUGCUGUAAACAAAAUGGGCUCAGCAAUACGUCCCGAAACCAUUGUUGGCAGACACCAUCCCCCGUCGCUGUAUGAAACUCUACAGUACACAGAAGAAGCCAUUUCUAAACAGGGCCCAGAAGCACAGCAGUGUCAUUUAAAAUGGAUCGUAGCAAAGUGGAAAACUGUUCUGUGGUCAGACGAAUCACGAUAUAAUUAAUGUUCUUCACGGAAAACUGGGACAUCAUGUCAUCUGGACUAAAGAGGACAAAAAGAACCCAAGUUAUUAAAGGCGCUCAGUUCAAGCGCCAGUGUCUGGGAUGGUAUGGAGCUGUGUCAGUGCCACAGUCAACCUCUGCUACCACCUGCUGUCAACAAUGUUGUCGUCCAACAUGCCUCCUAGCAUGCACUGCAGUGCUACAGAUAUGUUAUUUCUUCAGUUACUGUUCCAGUUGUUUCAGUUGUUCGAGUUGGCUGGUUAUGGUAUUUGUUAACACUUUGACAGUGGCGCCAUAUGACUUAUUAGACAAUCAUAAUUAUGACAUAGUGAAUGCUUAUAACUUAUGUAAUUUAUUGUUAUCUGGCAAAUUAUCUCCCUUUUGAAUGGAUGUAAAAGAUCCAAGCUGGACAUAAAUGGAGUUAGUGACAUAAUUUACCAGAUGACACUUAAUGACAUCUGUCAUAAAUAUUCAGUGAUGCCCAUGAUAGUGUCAUGUCAUAAUUAUGAUGGUCUUAUGACAGUCUUAUGAUGCCACUGUCAAAUGAAACCUUACCUAUCAACCCAAAUAAAUCAACAAAUAAGCCGCACUGGGGUCUUAUAGCCCAAAAAUUACGGUAUUUGUUCUUAUGAAGCCCAGCCCAUCUAAAAGUUGGUCAUUUUUCACCUAAAUAAAAAAAAAAAAAAUCCUUUCAAAUAAUAUUUUGAACAAUAUCUGUUCAUGAAUUAAGAACAUUUCUGACAAACAAGCUUUUUUUUUUUUUUUUAAGAUUAUGCUAAUUUAUUCCUUAAAAUAAGUCAGUAAAGCUUAAUUUCAGCUAGCUAUUUUUCUGAGUAAAUCUGAGUAAAAUUAUCUUGAAGCACUGGCAGAUAAUUUCACUUAUGUCUAGUAGAUUUACACUGAAAACAAGGGAAUUUAUUUACUUUUAGAGAGGGGUGUUUUUGCAGUGUACCGCCAUCUUUUUCAAUGAAGCCACCCUGUUUUAACACGUGCAGACUAUGUUUUGGCAUUUUAUUGGUACAAUAAGCUGGGAAGACUAUGAAAAAGACGCGUCUCCAAAACCAGUAUGUACAGUACCUUUCAGCAUUAAUGCUGCCUUCAUAAAUGCCUAAAUUAUGCUUGCCAUAGGGUUAGGUUAGGGCGAAAGAAUUCCUACAACAAAGCUUCAAUAACUAGUGUCCUCAACUCCCAAAACAAACAAAGAAAUUGAUACUUUCACAUCCCUGAUCAAGAUCAUAAACCACACACACAUUUUUGGAAUACCUGAAGAUUUUUUUUGGUUUACCUUCAUGGAAAGUAAGCGGGUCAGGUAGAUCUCUGGUAUGGCCUUGGCCCUCUCUCGUUCCCUCAGACUCCCUCUACGAUGUUUGGGGAGCUCCGGCUCUUCGCUGGCCUUCACCAAAUGCCAGAGUCUCACGCCACCCUCAUCUGCGUCUUCCAGCAUUGGUGUUUCUGUCACAGUGAAUUCAAAUAAAUAUUUUUUAAGCCCUAUUAUGAAUAUAGGUAAGAAAAUUGGCCGUCCUUAUAAAUAGUUAGCAUUGCCUAUGUUCAAAGCACUGUGAAAUACAACAAGUGAUUUUAAAAAGACAGCAGAAGCUAUUUUUGACACAAAUCCAUUAAAAAAUGUAACAGAACAGGCUUGAUGAAAGUGGAUCCUAGCUUGUCCUCAAAUUGCUCCUUUCUCAGCUGCCUUCGCCCGGUCCACUCAAAAAUGUUCAAACCAAAGUGAAGAGUAGCACGGGAUCCUCUGACAUCACAACCAGAAUGAGCUGCAGAUGUAUGCAGCCUGCUAGCACGCUACACGUACUUAGUUUUAUGUAUUAUGCAUUGUGCUACAUUAGGUUUUCUAUUCUUGUAUCACCGCGUGACUGUUCUGUCAAUUACAUUUGACUUCUGCUAGCUCAAGUGUACGGUUAAAAUGUGGCAGUAGCGAUGAUAAAACAGCAAGAUAUUUAUAUUCAUAUUAUAAAUAUAAAUAAAUAUAUAUAUAUUAGGGGUGUAACAGUACACACAAGUCACAGUUCGGUACAACAGGAAAAACAAAACAAAAAAGGUGUUUUUUAAUCACAGCAUUUAAACGGUAAAGUUUGUUCUACAGCUGUCCCGACUAGUCAACGUCAUCGACGGACAAAUUAAAAAUAGUUUGGGGGCUUAUUGCGCCAUGGAUAUGCUAUGGCAACAUAUGGACAUAUUGUUCUAUCAAACACAACAGUUCUUUUGACUUAAAAUACAGCAGUUUAUUUUAAAGAGGGGUGCAAGAGCAGAAACUGCUUUUUCAGCCUUAACUGUUUUCCGCCAUAUAUAUAUGGCCAUCAAUGGCAUUGAAAUAUUGUAUAUGGUCGCCAUUGGCAAUGACGUAAAUGGAUGUCUUUGACAUUGAUGAAUAUAUUGACAUCUACUCCAUUGAGAAACAUGACAAAGCACCUAUGGUUGAAAAGAACAGUGAUUUAAUGUGCCAGUGGAAAUGAACAGGGACGUUUUUGGUCAAAAAUAAUUACCAUCAAUAAAGAUUUUCUCUGUUGGUCCGAGAAUGAAUUGGAGCCAAUGGGCAUGGAUUUUACAGGUCCUAUCCACUGUUAAUGGGGACCCAAUAGAGAUUUGUUUGUGGGCUAGAGUUCAAUAUGAAUUGGAGCCAAUGGGGAGUUUCUUGUGGAUCCAAUAACAUUGACCAAGGAGUCAAAUAACUCCGCAGGGUCCAGUGAAAAUUCCAUUGAGCGUUGAUCAAAAAGGGACACGGAGCUUGACAAAUGAAUUUGAGGGGAUGAAAAUUGAAUGCAUCUAGGAUCUGAAUUUUAUAAUAGUUGGAAAUGAAGGACGCAAAAAUUCUCCAAGUUCGGUGUUAACGGGCAAAAAACACCAAGAAGAAGAAAUGGACGGGUAUUAAUUUCCAGGCCAUUGAAUUGGCUUUAUUUAAGUCAAGAUGCCUUCAAGAUCUGCCUAAGAUACAAUUUUAGAUGUCCACAGAAUUGUCAGAGAGUGAUGCUCUGUUUGCUGAAGUAAACGGCAGAAGGGGUAUAAUAUGUAUCUUUCAAGUUUUAUUUAGUAAAGUAAGUUUGAAAGCAAAUUUACAUUGCUGCUAGAUUGAGUAGCUAUGUAGCUAACAUUUAGGUUAGUUGCCGUGUAGCUACAGUAUUUCAAUUUAAAUUUGUAGAAUGAUUGAUUGGCAGGACAGCAUGGUGCCAGAGUGGUUAGCACGUCCGCCUCACAGUUCUGAGAUCAAGGGUUCAGUCCCGAGCUCCGGCACUUUCUGUGUGGAGUUUGCAUGUUCUCUCCGUGCCUGUGUAUGUUUUCUCCUAACACUUGGGCUUCCUUCCACAUCCCAGAAACAUCCAUGGUUGGCUCCAAAUUGUCCCUCGGUAUGAGUUGAGGUAUGACUAAAUGGUUUUCCGGUUGUUUCGUGUCCAUCUCCGGGUCAAGGUUCUAGCUCUCAGGUUGGACAGUCCAUUCUCAGAUGCAAGGUCUGUAUGCUGGUAGUUUGUAGUUAUUCUAAGCAAAUUAAACAGGCCUUCUUUAGACUCCUAACACACUGAUGCCACAUUAAAGUUAUGUAUGGAAACACACUCACUUCUUUGCAGUAUUGUGAUGAAAUGGUAGAUAACGGCACAAAACAAUUUUCAGAUGACUUUGAAGCUGACGUAUAAAAUGAACUUGGAUGUAUCAUUGCUAGAAAGCUAAGCAUGGUUAUUCAUUCUGGUUGUGAUGUCACCUAAUUGACAGCAAGAUUCGCCCUGAAAAAUUAUUUUGGAUGGCAUAACCAUGAACUUGUAAAAGACAGUGAGAUUUCAGUGUCAAAUUGGUUUUCUAGAUGAAAAGUUAUGCAAGUUCAGUCAUUUUGAUGUUUUGAGUGCUGUGCAUGUCUCGACAUCUGUAGUUUAAGACAUGAACUACUAACUCAAAACACUCAUCCUAAAUGAUAUCCUUACAAAAAAAAAUGGGCUUAAUGGGUUUGAACAAACAAACAAAAAAAGACGUACUCUCUCCAGCUACGUAAUCAUGGUUGUCGUGGUGAAUGUGUUUCGUGUGGCGAGGCACCAGAGCUACUGUAGCACCAUCUGGGACCUGAAAUACAACACAAAAUGUGUUGUUAGUACUAAUGUUCAUGACUUUAACAAUGAACUUAAAUACACAUUUGAAAUGAAGCUUAUUCGUAUGUAAGAACUGACUUUGUAGUGCUGCAGGGUGUUGAGUCGUUUCCAGUUACCCUGGACCACAGAUGUUAAGUCUUCAUCUGACAAGAUAAGAUGACCGGCAACACCAGACCGCCAUUCUGAAUGACAAUACAACCAGCAUAUGACAGUGUCAAAGGACGGUCAUGAUCAUGAAAUGACAGCAUGAAUGUAUGUAUAAAUGUAUGAAUGUCCUAACCAUAACACUAAUCCUAACCCUGUAACCCAAAGACACAACUGCAGAUAGUUUUACACGCACAAAUUGUAAGUAGAGUUGUCCGAUAACAACUUUUUAACCAAUAUCCCGAUAUUGUCCAACUCCAAAAAUCCAAUACCCGUGCCAAACCGAUACCGAUAUAUGCGGUCAUGCACUAAACAUAUUAUGGCUAAUUGUAUUGUGAUGCACCACUGGAUACUUUAAUAAUGAGAAAUGUAACAACUUCAAGAUUUUCCAAUAAACAUUGUGAAAAAUAAGUUUGCAACUUCAACUGAAGUUAGGGAAAAGUGCCUAUAUCGCACCACUAUAUUUAUUGUUUAAAUCAAAAUAGUGCAACCAUCAGUUUUUUCAGAUCAAGUGAAAGUGCCAAUAAGGCACUACUAUAUCACAUGUGGCUCACACAGUGCUUCUGUCUCAAAAUAACAACAAAGGCACACAGCUUCAGUACAGUGAAUGAGGAAUAUAAUACGUUUAUAAUUCAUUAUUUUUCAAUCGUUUAUUGUUCAUUUAAUUUUCGCAACAUGAAUGGAAAUGGUAUGCUCACAUAACAAAUCCCAAACCUCUUAGUUUAGA